AGAUGGACCAACUGUGUCCAUGCCUUAUGAUCUCCUGUGUUGAUUUUAAAAAGAGGGAGGGGACCUGGCCCAGUACUUUACAAGAGCUGCUAUCCCCAACCAUGUUAGCCAGUAUGGGUGAACUUAAAGACCUGCUUCCCUAAAGAGCCGAGAAGGCAGAAGAUGGACGUCACGCACUUCCCUGAAGGCCUGAAUUACACACAGAACACUACAAACACUAUGUGCUGUCUUAAUAUGAACAGGAUGCAAUUAAGGAUUCAUAGGUGGGAAACGGAGCCCAGCCAAGGCAAGCCUGCUGACACUGCGCACUGUUGCGUGGGAGUUGAUGUGCUCCAUGAGGUGUGCUGUUGCUGUGUUUGGGAAAGGGGUGAGAAACCGAAGGCCCACGCAUGAAGCCCAAUGGCGACUCCAAACUCACCCACGUCCAUCAAGAGCCGAGCUACCAGUGGCCAAGUCACUGAUAAAAUCAGCCUGCCAGCAAGGGUUAGGUAAUUAAUACCACUCACCUCCCUCCCUCCCUGACGCUGAUGUUUUUACCUAACCGAAGCCACUAAUCAUGCAGUAAUGAUUUCUUUCCCUCUGGUCAAAGGAAAAAAUAGAUCCGUUCUGUAGAAAUGUGGCGGGCUCCGAGGGUGUACCCUUGUGAUUGGGGAGGACAGGGGGAACUUGGAAGAAGUCUGCCUCAGAGCCUCUUCAAACACCCUCAAGCCCACGUAGUCACUAGUCACAGCUUAUUUGAAGGGUGAAAGUCCUCUGAGGCUAUGCAGUGCCGCUCUACAGGGACUUUCAUUUAGUUGGCUUUUAGUCGUCAAGGAGUGGACUGUUCCAGAGUUUAGUUUUGCCAGAGUUUGAAGAUGUGAGUGAGCUACAGAACACCGGAUGCCCUAACCCUCAUGAAAGACACGUGCUCCAGCUAAGCGGUCCCAAUGUGCCCUGGCCUCUGGAAAGUUAAGUAGCAGAGUGCCAAGAAGAGAGUUCUGGCGUCUCCCACAUCCCUCCUGCACCUGCUUCCAGCCUGUCUCUAGAGGCACGACCUUCUCCUAGCCCACAGCCAUGUGCAGCCUGGGAAACUGCUUUAUCAUGGGGCUGAGUGGCUCACUCUGAGCUGUAGGUCUGAGCCUUUAAUGAACGAUACACUCAAGUGAUGGCGUGUAAGGCUCCAGGCCAUCAGCCAAAACCCCAAAGCAGUCCUGUAUGGGUCAGGACGUGAUGACACUGUGGGCUUCUGGGAGGGACACACCCAGCAGUUACAGAUGGGCCCUCACAACUUUAGUUACUACUAUUUUAAUUCGUAAUAGCCUGAGUGAGAAGGGAAAAAAAACCUGAUAGUCUGACAACCCACCAGAAAUCUCGGUUUCAAGGCGGCAGACACCGAGGUGCCAGGUGCCGGGUGCCGGGUACCAGGGUGGGGAGGAUGAGGAACAACUGCUUCAGGUUUACAAAGUUUCCUCUGAGGGUGAGGAAAGCUUUCUGAGCUAGGGAGAGGCUCUGUUCCUGUAACCUCGUGAGUGUGCCAAGUGCCUCUGAACUGUUUACAUCCCAAAUGGUUAAUGCUAUGUUAUGUCAAUUUCACUUCACAAGUUCUCGCCCCAAAGGAGAACAGGCAGGAGAGGCGGUACUGAGAGCUCUUAGAUGAGGGGGGCGGCUGUGACCCUUACUUGCUAUUGAGAUGAAAUAGUUAAGAGUCAAAUGAAAAGAUAGAGCCUUUAAGAGACUUUCCCCUGACUGAUAAGAGAGUGGCCGAGUGAUCCUUGAGGUUCCUGCUAAUUGCUGGCAAGUCCCUGAAAGCAGUGGUCGCAGCUGUGGAGUGUGCACGCCGGGCCAUCAGUCGCUAGAGUAUUGACUACUGAGCAAUUCUAGCCGAUCAGGUCCAGGCGCUUCAGAGACAAUGUGCCUCCCUCACAAAACCUGUAAUGAGCAGUUCCUAUACACGACUACAUUCUGCUGACAUCAGAUCUGUGCACUGAGAUAGUACACAGGUCAAUACGUAUCGGAUUUCCAAAAUGCGAGGGUCUUAAUGUCAGGCCUCUUUUUCUCCCUCUCUCCUGCCAUUAGCGAUGACUGGGCUCAUGUUCUUUAAUGCCAUACAGGAGGAAAAUUCUGCUCCAUUAGUCUGAUUUAUUCUUCAAAUAUGCCAUGACAAAUUGCCUUAACACCAGACUUAUUAAAUUCUUGUACAUUUCAAGUUAUGGGUCUCACAGACCUGUAGUGCCUCCGUGACGUCAUCAGGAAGGGGCCAGAGGGUGACAGCACUGAGUUUUACAGUGCUGACAUAGAUGCUUUGUCGGGGGACACCCUCCCCGAGUUUCCAUGCAAGAGGUCAAGGUGGCCUGACCGCCUGCCAGGGAAGACCUGGUGUCCACAGGAUGUGUUGGCCCAUCCCCCAGCAAGCACGCUCCUCUAUGUAAAUGCAGAUGGAAGAGGAUUGGGGAAUAUCCAUGGCUUGACUUGCAGUUCAACAAUUACUGGCCUUUGUCUGGGGAUUCUGGCUCUGGUGUAGCAGAGCCCGUCUCUGGUGGACUCGAGCUAUUUUACUUCCCUUCGCUGUAGUAACCACACCGCAUUAACAAUAUUUGUACUACAAUCGCCAAGGGACCCACUUCCCAGAUUCUAUCACUUCUUUAUCUCCUGACAAAUACCUCACUAUCGAACAUUAUUAGGUUUAGAAAAUUAACCCUUCGAGCUCUACAGCCAGACCAGGCCCCAUCGUCCCUCCAAAGAGCCUUAUCGCUAAAUUUCUGCUAUAAUGGUUUUUCCGUUCAUCACAAUUUCAAGCGCAGCUGUCAAGAGGCACUUACAGAUACUGUGAUCUUGUACUUUGCGAUGAUUCUCAUUAAAAUGAUGCCAAAG